UACAGAGGGCUCAAGCGUUGUUCGGAUUCAUUGGGCGUAAAGGGUGCGUAGGCGGCGCGUUAAGUCGGGUGUGAAAUCUCGGGGCUUAACUCCGAAACUGCAUUCGAUACUGCCGUGCUUGAGGACUGGAGAGGAGACUGGAAUUUACGGUGUAGCGGUGAAAUGCGUAGAUAUCGUAAGGAAGACCAGUGGCGAAGGCGGGUCUCUGGACAGUUCCUGACACUGAGGCACGAAGGCCAGGGGAGCAAACGGG
rnacentral:rRNA from 1 species